CUGAAGUUGCUUGUCUGAAGCUGCAUGCUGUCUGCCAUGGACUGAAGUUUGUCGCCCACCAAAUUCAUAUGUUGAAUUCCUAUCCCUCAAUGUAAUGGUAUUUGGAGAUGGGGUCUUUGGGAGGUAAUUAGGUUUAGAUGAGGUCAUGAGGGUAGGACCCUCUUGAUGAGAUCAGUGCCCUUAUGAGAGGACACACCAGAGAGCUUACUUUCUCUCCACCAUGUGAGAAAACAGUGAGGAGGUGGCUGGCCAUCUGUAAGCCAGAAAGCAGGCCCUUAAUAGAAGCCUACCAUUCUGGCACCCUAAUAUCAGACUUCCAGCCUCCAGGAUUGUGAGAAAAUGAACUUUUAUUGUUUACGUAUGUAAGCCACCCCAUCUAGAGUAUUUUGUGAUGGCAGUCCAAACUGACUAAACACAGUCUGUGUGUCUAUGUGCCAAUAAUUAAGCAAAACUUUUGCUUCUUAUUGUCUGAGCUUAAAAUAUUUUCCUAUUUUCAAAGUAUGUGAAUAAGCAGAAUUAUAAAUUCUAUUAAAUGAAAGAUCUCUGUUUCUAAGUAGCUUAUAGAGACUAAUAAAAGUAUAAUAUAUAUAUUUUUAAAUGCUGUCAUGACUCAGUUUUAAGGCUCUGGCUAGAGGCCAGUCUGUUCUCCAUCUUAAGCAGUUGAGUAAGUUGCUUAACCACUUUCCACAUUAGGCCAUCAUACAUCCUCCCUAAUUUCCCUGAGGCCAGGUACCAGACAACUAGGGACACACCUUAAGCCCCAGAACCCACCAAAAUCAUUCAAAUUAUCCUAUCCAGGGAGCCUGUGAAACCCAGCUAAUCCCACCAGAACUGCAAGACCUGAGCUGCCCCUUACAGCCACAGCUUGUUGCCACCUGUCACAGGGCACCACCUCGUGUGGCCAUGCCUGGCAGUGUUGCAGACCUUUCUCCUUAGUUCAGCUAAAACUGGGUUCUUGUCAUGUGACCAGGAAAUAUUAGGCUUGCGGACACAUAGAAGGGUGAGGAGCAGAAUUUAUUUGGAGAAAAGGAAAAAGGAAAAAUAACUCUCAGCAAAGUGAGAGAGAAUCCUGCUAGCAGGUUUCCCACCUCACUGAUUGAAUCCCAGGUUCCCACCCAGGAAAUGAAAACACCAGUCUCCUCCCUGCUGCAAAUGGCUUGAACUUCCCGAGGCUCCACUCCGUCCUCCCAGUGCACAGGUGACGGGUUGACACGCACAACGGAAAUGUUGAAGAAUCGACCAGAUUUUACAUAUUGACUGAACUAUUUGUCUAGUGAAAUGAGUACCUCCAUUGCUAUGAAUUUCUAGAGGAAGUCUCCAAGCAGCAAUAAUUUUCUCUGAGAGAAUUUUACUUACCACGAAGGCUGUUGCUUUUCUACAUAGACAUGUUGCUACCCAAUAAGAACACAUACACAUCAUCACUACAAUGUAUUGCAUCCUUGUCAUGGUGUAGCUGAAUAAAAUCUACUUGCCAUACCUAGAAAAGGCCUCUGGUAAAGGAAAAUGACCUUGAUAACUAUAUAAAGCUUUUCCUGGAUUGUACUUUGAGCAGAUAUGGCAGCAAUUGUACACCUUAAGAGCAACCAUUGAAGACGGCUUUUAAUAAUGUUGUUGUUUUUUUCCCAAGUAAUCAAUUCAUCAGGGCUCCAAUGAGUUAAAUCAUGCACAUAAGUUAAGAUGGAUGACUGUAAUUUUGUUACAAGUAUGGUUAGGCCAUUUGGUUUAUAUCAUAACCUGGUGUCAGGAAUGUAUGCUUCUCUUUUUGUUUCCAAAUUUUCUUGUUCUGUUUUUGGAGCUUUGGAUUGAGAAAAUUUUAUAUCAAAAUCAAAUGUUUCUGUAAAUAUUAAAAAGGGUUGCUUUUUUUUGUUCAGAUACAUUUAGGGUAGGCCUUUUUGCUAAUUUUUAUCUGCUAAUUUAUUUCUUUUGCUUUCUGUAAUGUCUGACUUUGAAGGGCCUGGAAUCUUGAUAAUGGCUAAUGAUUGUGGCAAUAGUAUGGCUUCUAAUAAUUCUGAAGCCAGUUAUUCUUUUUUUAUGGACUGACUGGAAGAGGUUAAAAAUCCUCUGUUCACAUGGAAUUCUAAAGUCAUGAAUUAUCCCAAAAACGUAUCUACUGUCUAUACAAAUAUUUAUUAUUUUUGCCAAUUGACAAGCUCUAAUUAAUAUGAUUAACUCUGCUUGUUGAGCUGAGAUUGUUUCUAGUAGCUAAGCACUUUCUAUUGCUCAAUUAAAGAUACCAUAGUAUAACCCGUCACAUAUGUUCCAAAUUCAUCCUUUAAGUAAGAUCCAUCUGUAAACCAAACAACAUCAGUGUUAGUAAGGGGAGUUUCUUGCAGAAAAAUGAGAGAGAAGCUAGUUAGUCAAGAUCAUUUCAAUCAUGUGGCAUUUCCUCUCAAGGCAGGGGCAGAAGAGCAGCAGCAUCAAAAUUGCUAUUACAUCUGGAGAUUGGAAUAUGAUGAGCAGAAAGAAGAAUUUCCUAAGAAGGCAGUCAACUAACUGAAUAGUGUUGGGUGUGAUGCAAGUUUAGAAGCACUUCUACAGAAGGUGGAACAAAGACAGUGAGGGAGAUUCCAUCACUAUUUCUUCAGUUGCUGGUAUUAACAGGAUGGUAGCAGUUAUUGCUCUCAUGCAAGGUGGCAUUCCAUUACCCAAAGGGUCCAGAUGUUAACUAUGUAGUGUAUCAAAACAAA
rnacentral:lncRNA from 10 species